rnacentral:lncRNA from 1 species
AGCAGACCGGGUGCCACACAAGGGGAGGCAGGGAGGCCAGAGCGAGACUUUGGCACGGAGCUGGAAGGUUCUAACUUGCAUGUCAUCUCCACAUGGGCCCUUUGGCCAAAGUACAGCCUCCACGUGUUUUGAGGCCAGGCAGGGCCAGCACCGGCAGCAUUACUACCGUGACGGAGUGGACUCCACUGGCUUUGUGAAUCUGGGACCACACUUUCUGAUGCAACAACCUGGGCUUCUCAGUGUGGGGCUCUCUGGGUCUGGUUCUACUGGCUGCUCCGUCUAGGGACACAGGAAACUCCAAAGGGGUCCAGCACACCACCUGAUGCCCGGCCACGUUGCUUCAACGCCGUUCACCAAGAACACAAAGGCUUGUGGGGAAAUGUGGCUACUAAAUGCCAUGCAUUUUUGAUGUCCAACAGUUUUUCUUACAAGAACUGUGUGCUGGCCGCUGCAGUAGCCAUCAGCCAUGUGUGGCCAUGAUGCACGUGAAGAGGAGCUAGUGAGUCCUGAGACAUGGGCAGUACACG